AUUGAACGCUGGCGGCAGGCCUAACACAUGCAAGUCGAGCGGAUGAAGGGAGCUUGCUCCUGGAUUCAGCGGCGGACGGGUGAGUAAUGCAUAGGAAUCUGCCUGGUCGUGGGGGAUAACGUCCGGAAACGGGCGCUAAUACCGCAUACGUCCUGAGGUAGAAAGUGGGGGAUCUUCGGACCUCAAGCUAUCAGCUGAGCCUAGGUCGGAUUAGCUAGUUGGUGAGGUAAAGGCCUACCAAGGCGACGAUCCGUAACUGGUCUGAGAGGAUGAUCAGUCACACUGGAACUGAGACACGGUCCAGACUCCUACGGGAGGCAGCAGUAGGGAAUAUUGGACAAUGGGCGAAAGCCUGAUCCAGCCAUGCCGCGUGUGUGAAGAAGGUCUUCGGAUUGUAAAGCACUGUAAGUUGGGAGGAAGGGCAGUAAGUUAAUACCUUGCUGUCUUGACGUUACCAACAGAAUAAGCACCGGCUAACUUCGUG
rnacentral:rRNA from 1 species